rnacentral:rRNA from 1 species
UCAGGCCUAACACAUGCAAGUCGAACGGUAACAGGGAUUAGCUUGCUAAUUUGCUGACGAGUGGCGCACGGGUGCGUAACGCGUAUACAAUCUACCUUUUGCUGUGGGAUAGCCCAGGGAAACUUGGAUUAAUACCGCAUAGUAUAUAGAAUCGGCAUCGUUUUUAUAUUAAAGGUUACGGCAAAAGAUGAGUAUGCGUCCUAUUAGCUAGAUGGUGUGGUAACGGCACACCAUGGCGACGAUAGGUAGGGGCCCUGAGAGGGGGAUCCCCCACACUGGUACUGAGACACGGACCAGACUCCUACGGGAGGCAGCAGUGAGGAAUAUUGGGCAAUGGAGGCAACUCUGACCCAGCCAUGCCGCGUGCAGGAAGACUGCCCUAUGGGUUGUAAACUGCUUUUAUACGGGAAGAAACAGCUCUACGUGUAGAGCCUUGACGGUACCGUAAGAAUAAGGAUCGGCUAACUCCGUGCCAGCAGCCGCGGUAAUACGGAGGAUCCAAGCGUUAUCCGGAAUCAUUGGGUUUAAAGGGUCCGUAGGUGGAUAAUUAAGUCAGAGGUGAAAUCCUGCAGCUCAACUGUAGAAUUGCCUUUGAUACUGGUUGUCUUGAGUCAUUGUGAAGUAGUUAGAAUAUGUAGUGUAGCGGUGAAAUGCAUAGAUAUUACAUAGAAUACCGAUUGCGAAGGCAGAUUACUAACAA